GACGAACGCUGGCGGCGUGCUUAACACAUGCAAGUCGAACGGAAAGGCCCUGCUUUUGUGGGGUGCUCGAGUGGCGAACGGGUGAGUAACACGUGAGUAACCUGCCCUUGACUUUGGGAUAACUUCAGGAAACUGGGGCUAAUACCGGAUAGGAGCUCCUGCUGCAUGGGGGGGGUUGGAAAGUUUCGGCGGUUGGGGAUGGACUCGCGGCUUAUCAGCUUGUUGGUGGGGUAGUGGCUUACCAAGGCUUUGACGGGUAGCCGGCCUGAGAGGGUGACCGGCCACAUUGGGACUGAGAUACGGCCCAGACUCCUACGGGAGGCAGAAGUGGGGAAUAUUGCACAAUGGGCGGAAGCCUGAUGCAGCAACGCCGCGUGCGGGAUGACGGCCUUCGGGUUGUAAACCGCCUUCGCCUGUGACGAAGCGUGAGUGACGGUAAUGGGUAAAGAAGCACCGGCUAACUACGUG
rnacentral:rRNA from 1 species